rnacentral:lncRNA from 1 species
CCGACGUGAAGGAGUACCCCAACUCCUACGUCUUCAUUAUCGACAUGCCGGGCCUGAAAUCAGGGGACAUCAAGGUUCAGAUCGAGGAUGAUAAUGUGCUGGUGAUCAGUGGAGAGAGAAAGCGGGAGGAAGAGAAAGAAGGGGCGAAGUUCGUGAGAAUGGAGAGGAGGAUUGGAAAGUUUAUGAGGAAGUUUGUACUGCCAGAGAACGCGAAUACCGAUGCGAUUUCGGCGGUUUGUCAGGAUGGAGUGUUGACAGUGACGGUGGAGAAGUUGCCGCCACCGGAGCCAAAGAAGCCUAAGACCAUUGAAGUCAAAAUUGCUUAGAUUCAAGUCAGAGGAAAGAGAUGUUUGGUAUCCAUCUAUGUUGGUUGGUCUGGUUUAGUGUACGUUAAUAAGUGUAAUGGUGUAAUGCCUAUGGGUUAAAUGCAAAAUGUACUAGUGAUUGGAAAUGAGUGUGAUGUGUGGAAUUUUAAUUGACGCUUUUUAUUGUGGGUUUAAUAUUUUAAUUAAAGAAAAUUUCAAGAUUCUAUAA